rnacentral:rRNA from 1 species
AGGGUUCGGGUUCGGCGGGGGUUCCUCAGCGUCAGCCUCGCGCAUUUGUUUGAGCUUCGUUCAGGAUGGCGAGUGAC